rnacentral:lncRNA from 1 species
CCUAAAUGUACCAUGAUAAAAUAAGUGUUAGGAAGUCACUUUGUCACCAGAAACUUUAAGUUAAAAAUACCCAUGUCAACAUUUUAUUAAGACAGUCACUUACAGUUUGUAAAAAGAAUUCUAACAUACAUAAAAGUUUCGGGUCUGAAGAAGCAAGGAAUUGAAAAAGCAUCCCCCCCCUCAUGUACAGACACUGCAGUACAAACUUCAGUUUGUUUGAUUUAGAUUGGCUUAAUCUUGAAGUGUAGUCCAAUAAGACUGAAGACUAGACAUUUAAGGUCCUGGACCAGGUAGUAGAACACUCUCAAACCUUCUGGAUCCUUGGAUUGAUUUACAUCGAUGAGCGACCCAAUUUUUGACGUGGUAAAGGAGAUGUGCUCGUCACCAAUUACUAUUUCAAGCUCCUGGCGGCCCACCCUGUCUGGUGGCGGCCACAGCGCGUCGUCCUCUUUGGUGAUCUCGCUGUCGUCGAUGAUCCGCUUCAGCUCCUCCAUCACGCUCUUGUGCACGUAGGCCUCUUUGCGGAUCAUGACGUCGUUCUUGUAGUUGCUGUUGUUGGCGUAGCGCAGCUUCCCGUCGGGCCGGAACUCGAACUCCAGGAACUCGUGCCCGAAUUUCCCCUUGUGCCCCACGUAGUACCGCAGGUAGAAGUCGCUCGCCAUGGUCCCGCCGCGCCGCACCGGCAUGCACCGCGACGGCGCGUGCCGAAUGCGUCACGGAGGGUGGGGCGGGAUGGGACGGCACGGAACGAGCCCAGCCUGCUGCGCGCUCUCCGUGCUCCCAUUGGCUGCCGCCCGCGAGGCCGAGCGGCCGCGGUGACCGUUGCGCCCCCCUGCGGCGGGGAGGGCUGCUGCAGCCCGGCACCUGGGACGGCCGUUAGGCCGCCAUGUUGCCCGCGACGGGACAGGGGCUGCCCCGACAUCCCCAACCGCCCGGCGGCUUUUGUACUUUGUUUCCAGUCAGUAGUAGCGGUCCUGUUGUCUCCAAGACGUCUCAGUACUCUUCUCAUUCGUAUUGAGAUGGUGAUUUUCUUCAGAGUCUUUGUUAGACAAAGAGUACGGAGAGCUAUACAUAAUUUGUUACUAGCUUAUACGUGUAUGCUGUUAAUUGUUUAACUUCUCCUCCUUUAAUUCUCUGUUACUCGGGUCCUGUCUAUCCAAAGCCAAAAGCUAGUAGUUUUCCAGCAUCAAGGGGUUUCUGUUUUGUAAAGAUAUCUAUUACAUCUAACUUGCCUUUAACUGAAGGCUCAGAAGUUUUUCAGAUGGCUGGACAGACAGAAGCUCGUCUUUGUGCUUAUAACUUACUCCAUCUACCUAAUCUCUAUGGAUAUAUAUCAGAGAACCCUGAUAAAGUAGAAAGACCCCUGAAAAGAGCUAUUAAUUCUAAUAAAGGACCCAAAUGGUAGCAGAGGCCAUGAAAUUAACAAAAUUCUUAUCUUGUUCUGAUGCAGAAACAACAUUCAGUUCCCACAGGUGUGGGAAUUAGCUCACGGCUAAGGGAAGGAUUUUGCUCAGUCAGAAUUUUACAGGAAUUUACAAAGGCUAACACGUGGAAGUUUAUUUCCAGUGAUUUCUUUUGAGAUAUGCAAAGAGUUUGGCACAUUUAGACUGAAGUCUAAAUCUUCAGGUUGCACAUGCUGUGUUCCAGUAUACGAAAGUGUUGCAGAAAAUGAGCCCAGAUAAAAGGUCCUGAUGUGCUGGCUGAGAAAUCCCCAGGAAAUGAUCACUUGCCAGAUUUUGCAGACACACAGCUUCGAAGUUGAAACCUCUCUUACUGUCAUCAGGAUAAUUCGCAAUGAAUGUCAUACUUCGACUGCCAACAGCUGUGUGAAGCUGGCACAGGACUCGUGGAUACCUUUGUUAACCUGGGUGCUGUUCCCAGGGCAUCCAAAGCCACUGCAGCUGCCUCUGAAGUGCUCCUGUUGUGGCUGUUUGGCCCCCAGGACCAGCAAGAUCUACCACGGUGCUGGCAUUCACUUUGAUGACAGCUGCUGCACUUCAAUGAAUUUUACAAAUGGUGAACUAAGACACUGCCCCACAGUAUCUCCUAAAUUGAGACUUAACGAAGAAGAGAGUGGGGGAAAGGAUCCAGAAGGCCACGAGACCCUGAGGACGUGUCUUACCUUUGGGCUGCUUUAAUUCAUGAAAUACAACGAUGUCAUGAGGAUUAUUGAGAUUUUCUGCUAAAACAGAGAUGUCCAAGCCACUCAGCCUGUUGGCACUGAAGAUUGCUUCAUUCUCCAGGUCAGUCCAGAACACUCUGUCCUGCAGGAAAUACAAAGGAUUUCUGACCUUACCCUGCUCAGUUCCAAUUCAAGCUGGACUAAACUCUGGUAGUCACAAAAUCAAUGUGCUGCUUUCCUGUGCUGGGAUAACUUUGGUUUUAUGGUACUUCUAUGUGCAGCUUUUUUCUUUGGCAUGUUUAAAAAGCACAGUACUCCAACAGUGUUUAGGAGUGCUCAGUAAUUUGGAGUAGCUGUGAGACUGAGGAAGCAGGAAUUCAGCUACAUCCAAAUUCUGGACCUUCUGGGAUGUUCCUGCACCUUUUUUGAUUUUUUAAAAAUGGGAGUAAGAAGAGCAUCACAAGAAUCUACAAUCAUACAAGAAUGCAAUUGGGUUUUUAAGUUCAAGUAGGGGCCAGAAGCCUGAUUUGUGAAGAUAGGCAUAUAUCUCUGUAGGAUCAGAGCUUAGUUUUUUGGACAGAGACAUUGCUCUGAUGUGUGGCAGGACUUGUGUGUCAGAACGGCAGCAGCUGAAGCUGAAAGAGAACUAUCUGCCUUCCUGAACCAGGUGAACAAAUAACUUUUUAAUACCAAAUCCCCAACUUGGCAACGCACUGGUGCACAGUGACUGCAGGGGGAGCCCUGCGAGCGCCUGGCACACAUAUUGCCCACUGGAGCCUUCAGACUCCUGCCACAGGUCAAAAUGUUUGAGGACACUUCUGCAGAUGUUGAGAUGGCCAGAGGACAGUGCAAGCAAUCAACCCCUGGACUUACGGGGCCAUCCUCCCUUGAGGAUUCUGUUAGCACUGGAAAAUGCAGCACAAGCAUGCAUGUGAAACAAAAAUGCUGGGAAUAACAGAGGGCAGCUGCCCUGAGCCCAUGCAGCUCCCCUUGAAGUCUGACUUAUCCGAAGGCAGACACAGGACGUGCUGCAGUGUCACUCAGUGAACGGCUGCCCCACUACUGAUCUAGCAAGUGGUUUCUCCUGUCCCUUGUUAACAGUUUCGGCCUUUGCAUGGGCAGUUGGCUCAGUUCACCUCAAGGGAAAGCCAUGACUAUUUUGCAGUCCCGUGGGAGCCAUAAUUCUAAUAAGCUCUGCCUGCCCCUCAUGGAUUCAUUUGUAAUACAUUAGGUAAAAGCAUGAGGCAACGCAUCGCUCCUGAUGAGGGGCUUUAGAAAACUACUUUCCCAGCUGAACCCACACCAGGUUAAUCGGUUUCUAUAGCAGCAAACGCCCUCACUGAGCUUUCUGCGCUAUGCAAAAGGCAAAGCUUUCAAUCACGAAGAGCUUUGAGACCUCUUGCAGUCUCCAGGCUGUUCUCACCCCAUCUUGACUCUUACCUCAAACACUGCUAAGCCGAACGGAUGGCUCAGAUCAUCAACGGAAGAGAUCAGAACUUUUCUGUUGCUGCCAUUGAAAUCAAUGCAGGAGAGUGAAUGCAAUUUGGAGUCCACCCAGUAGAGACGCUGAUUCAGCAAAUCUGAGAAGUAAAACACAAUGAAACAAAAUUACACACAGCUUCUGCAAUUCUUUUUUACUUCCCAGCAUUUUUUCCCUGCUGGCAGCAUGACUAAUCUCUUUAUUAUUAGGCUUCUAAAAGUUUUUUUUCAACACUAGUUGUGAUUUUGACUCAGUGCCCAGAUAUGCUAGGAUAAGACCUUAUAAGUAAGAUUAAAAAGGAGAAACAUUCUGGGGGGUGUCUGUGUGUGUGUGAGAAUGAUGGACUGACAGUGUUGUUUUGCUGCCAGGAGGAGCAGGCCAGCCACACUUUGGGCUUCCCAGAGGUGCUCCUUCAGGGCCACUCAGCCCUAUUUAGUUGUUGGCCUCUUGCUGGAGAGUAACGACUGGGAUUCAAAUGACAUCCUUCUGAUGGAGCUGCGUGAUUAACACAUCUUCAGUGAUGAAGAAUGCUGGGUUCCAGAAAUCCUUGUGCUGCAGGCUGAGGGAAUGGCAGUGGUGGGAACUUUCCGCCCCAGACCAGACAGAUUUUGGAGAGGGUGCAGGUAAAAGUGGGUGGGAAGGGCUCAGUGUUAUUUAGAAUGCUGUGAACUGAAUGUCUCUUCCUGGAGCAGAUCCACUUAUUUUGGAUGAGAUUCACUAAACUGAAUGCAAGUGGAUAAGUGCCAACAAAAAACAAAUUCUGUAAUAAAACAAGCCAUUAAUUAAUUUCUUAAUUACUAAAGGAUAACAUUAUUUGUUCACAGCAGUAGCACUUCAACAAUAUGCAGUGGUAGUAACAUUUUCUCUUACAUCCUUUUAUAGACAGAAUUUUCAAACAUAAAACCAAGCACAGAACCUCACACCUGCGUGGUGCUAAAUGUGGAUGCCUUUAACUUGGCUGUGUUUGCCUACUUAACAAGAAAUUUACAUUAGCCACAGUGGAUCCUGUAGCUGUGACCCGCCUGCUUACCAAGCGUGAUGCCGUUUGGCCACUCAAUGUUGUCAGACACCAGCACUUGCCGCCCCACACCAUUGAGGCCUGCUUUCUCAAUCUUCGCUUUGUCUCCCCAGUCAGACCAGUACAUGAACCUAAAAGAGAUGGAUGCAAGGAGACAGUAAAUUGGACCAAAGGUUAUUCACAGGUAAUUUUUGGCAGGAAGGCCAAAUAAACUGGUCAGUGCUGUGGAGGACCCCAAAGUCUGGGAAGAGGGGGAAUUCCUGGUUGCUAGUCCUGUGCUCAGCUGAAACAUCCCUCCAAGGUUAAAAGCUGAACUGAGAAGGGCACAGUUCACACUGGCAGAUGAUCAGACCGGGCUACUAAUUAUAUUCAUGUGAAGGGUGAAGAGAGAAUAAAGGCAAGGAAAGAGAAGCAGAGUGAGAAAUAGCAUUAGCAGCUACAUGUGGUUACACUCAAAGCUGUGAGCACCAGAUGGAGGAGAGGGGAAGCAGUUACAACAGGAGCAACACGUAGAAGGCAAGUACUGUACCACAUUCUUUCAGAGGCUCGUCAGACCAGUCCCUGCAGUCUCUAUGUAAAUCGCACACUUUGCCUCCGUCAAUGCACUCUCCACUCUUACACUGAAACUUGCUGGGACUUUCACAUGCUGACUCUGUCAUGUCGGGCAAGAGAGGAAAGCAACUAAGUUAGGUGAGGCUCAAGACAACAAAAAGCCAGACACAGAGCUUCAAGAAGGUGUCAUUAGCAGAAAUGGGAUGAGAUUAAGCAAAUGAACAUUAAAGAUUGAGUAUGAUGCGAGGAACUUUUCAAGACGUGCAGUCUGCCUGGCCAGCACAAUCAUCUCUCCCAAGCAACCCCACUGCCAGAACGGCUUACAGCUCUGCAGGAAGCAGCCUGUCGUGGCACAGAGGAGCAACGCAGGCCUUCUCCUUCUGCAGUGGCCACAGAGCCCUUGCAGACUUACAAAACUGAGCACAAAGAACGUAGUGCUGUUCUGAACGUACCUUGGACACAGCCUGCCUCGUCACUGUUGUCAGGACAGUCGUGCACUUUGUCACACUGCUUUGCUCCAUGGAUGCAGGUCCCAUCCCCGCACUGGAAUUCAUCCGGUCUGCAGGUCACCAGAGCUUUAAAAAAACACACGUAAACGUUAUCCACACAGCACUUGAACUUUUUGUGUGGUACUUUUUAUCUGACACUGCAGGAGCUUUGCGCCCUCCUUCAGAAGGAUCAACUGCUUCCACCAAAGCAACAGGCAGCAGCUACCUCAGGCACUGCCCCGUGCCCCCCAACAUCCCUGACCACCCUCUACCAUCCUUGUAUUUUAAGAUACAUUUUAAAACACGUUCAGCCUAAGGUCAAAGGCAAGACACAUGUAUGCUGCAUCUGCUACAGCCAACGUGGUCACGCCAGGGUGAAGCGAGUGACAGAUGUGGUCAUUUGGGUCAAUGAAUGCCCGUGAGCCGACCACAGAGCCUGGAAGGCACAACAGCUCCACUGCCCCAUGGCUUGGUGCUUCUUGGGUUUACAGGCCAGAAACAUCUCCAAAAGUGUCAGGUCAGAUUUCAAGCCUGAUGCUCAUUUGCCCUGUUGCUGUUAUUACACUCAAAAGAGAUCUGAUGAACAGCAAAAUUGGGGAAAAAAUAGAUCAGACUGCUGCUCUGAUCAUGCUAAAAGCAGCCGCAUUUCCCUCCUCAAGGUUACACUGAGACCUUCCCAGAUGGGAUCUGACUUGCACUGACAGAGCCAACAGGCACUGGCUAGCCAGCAAAGGGCUGCAGCCUGCAGCUCACUGGUAAAAAUAGGCUCCUCGUUCCUGAGGCACGUUACGUGGCUUAUUUCUAAGGGGACUAUCUUCCAGAUGUUUUGUUAAAAUCCUGUUAAGGCAGCACACCCUGGAGAGCUCUUGAUUCUAACCUUUCCAUCUUGCUGAUUGCAGCCUGGUACCAUAUGACAGAAAAUCACUGCCUCUGAAUAGCUGGAGGAGGUCAGCACUGAUGUUCCUACAUGGGAGGCGAGAGCCACGUGGCAGACCUUCCUUGACAAUUUGACAAACUGCCUCUAAUACAAAAAUUACUACUUUCAGAUAACCCAAGAAGAGCCACAGAUACGAAGUGGGUUAGUGUCGAUAUCAUGAAGUAUUAGUAUGCCUAAAGGCUCAGCAUUAUUGGUGAUAGCAUCCCAUGGGAUGCAGGAUCCAGAUUCAAAACUGCUGGACUAAGCCCUAAGUGUCUGCAGGCAUUGAAAGGUGUGAAAGACAGGAAAAGCUGCAAUUGCAGUGCCUGUGCUGGAGGAGGGAAAUCCUGCCUUAGAAACACACAGUAUUCACAGGAGAAAGGUUACAAAAUAGCACUGCUCCAUGGAGAGGAAAGCCAUGUGGACUACAGUCAGAAAUAGCUGCAAAGCAAGAAUAAAACCACACGCAAUAAGAGCGGUUAUGGGACCAGCUGUGUCAGUGUAUCUGCUAACAAACCCAGAUACAGAAAUGCAAAACCUCAGCAGGACAUCCAGCAGCUCCAAACCAAGCACCUGGGAACUGCUCUUCUAACAAAGGAGAGGGGGACGUGAAACUGUGGUCUGGGAGAACCACAGACCUCAGGUCUGCAGGGAGGCUAGGGCACUUCUGUCUGAACCAUUCACUUCCCUGGCAGAAGCCCUGAUGGUGGAGAGACCCUGUAAUGCAAUCCCAGCUUCUUCCAAGCUAAACCUUGGCCAUUGCAAACCUUUUCCUAAUGCCUAGCCUCACAUUCCCCUGCUACAACUAUUUCUGAUCUUCACCUCCCAACAUGGGAAAGUUUACCCUUUCUGUAGCAACUUCUGUUCUGUGGAGACAGGAUGGGGUGGUCCUCCAUUUUUGGCUACAGGUAUUAAUUUUCUGCAAAUAUGCUAUACACAAUUAAAGCCAGCAGGAGCCUGGCCUGUCCUGGGGCAGAAGUUUCCAGUUUAUGAAGUAAACCUGCAAGGCAAUGGCUGCAGAUUGGGAAGGCUCAGCUAGUAAAGGGACUGCGAAACACAGAUGUGGGACUGUACAACAUCUGCACAAAGCUCCUUCUUCACCAAGAGUCAGAGGACUGGAGACCGGGCUUGGUUUCCUGGCUUGCUUCUUGUUCCAGCAGAGCUGUGGAAAUUCAGACCUUUGAGAAAUGGCCCUUGAGCCUCUUCAUGAACAUCCGAAAAGAGCAGAUACAGUGACAGCUCUUACUGAUCACACAGAUAAGUGACCGGCUUGAACAGUUUUUGUGGCUAAAACUGGAUGAAGCAUUCAAAACACCGUGCACACCAACAACACCAUGUUAAAUGUAUCAAGCCAGCUGAAAAGAAAUCCAUUAUUUAUUAGCUCUGUGCCUGUAACAGCCAAGCUCAAAGUGCAUUUCAAACUGGAUUAUUCAGAGGUGCUGCCUUGCUCGGUAUACUCCAACUUCAGAGGUAGAAAAUUAAUUAUUUUUUUUUCUGCUGAUCAUAUAUUCCCUUUAGCACUGUGGCUUCUAACCUGCAGGGCUGUGACCCCACCACGUAGCCUGAGGGCUUUAAAAAUGUCUCCUAUUUCCUCCACUUCUAGUGAAACAGAUCUUCUCUGAGGCACGGUGCCAUUCAACAGCUCUCGCAGCCCCUCUCCGAAUCCUGACAGAGUAACAGAAUAGUCUGGAAUACACCGAAUGCUGCUGGGCUGAGCACCCGGCCAUGCCUUGGGACACAAACGCUCCUUGGCAGACAGGUGCUGCACAGACAAUUUGCAACGAAGCCCUGCCUGAAAACACAGCCCAGAGGGGCUGCCCUCCCCACCAAAGGAGAAUCCCCAGCCCUGCCCACACUCACGGCAGUCCUGCUCGUCAGAUUUGUCCUUGCAGUCUUCGUCCCCAUCACACUUCCAGUUAAGGAGGAUGCAUUCGCCAUUGCCACACUGGAACUCGUGAGCAGCACAGGUGUUGAAGGCCUUGGCAUCAUAGCCACACCUCUCUAUGGACUCAUCCGAAUGGUCCUCACAGUCUGCCUGGUUGUCACAGACCCACAGCUGUGGGAUGCACACGCUGUUGUUGCACUGGAACUCAUUGGGGCUGCAGGUCAGAGGGGAGCAUUUCUUUUCAUCACUGCCAUCACCACAGUUGUUGUAACCAUCACACACGAAGUUGAUGGAGAUGCACGUCUUGUUACUGCACUGGAACUCAUCAGGAGAACAAGCUUGGGGAAAAACAAACAAACAGGUGAGCUGUGAGGUCUCCUAUCUACCCCUCUGUCACCACACUGGCUUUAGCACAUGACAUGUAUCUGAGUCAGGAGAAGGGCACAAAUGUAUUACCUUGGCUGUCCUAACCCAAAACUGCUUUCCCAAUGGUAAACUACAUAGCAAGGAAAAGGCAAAGAUGCACGGGACACCUUCACGGCUGUGCUAUGGAGUGCACCCUGCCCCCAGCACUGUCCAGGAGUGAGCUGACCCAAGCUGGGAGCUCAGCUCACACUUUCCCACCACCCCUCUGGGCCACGGGCAACCCUGCAGAAGAAUGGGCAGCAGGUAAAAUGGGGGGCAACUGCAGCACUGCCCUGGUGCUGGGGCUCCCUUUUGUAUAAGGAGGCAUAGGCAGAGCUGGAGGAGCAGUGGUGGGCGCUGGGGGCUCACACAGUGCUGAGCUUUGCUCCAUGCUGACAUUAGCAGCUUCCUGGCUUUCACAAGCACAGAAUCAGGUUUGAGGAUUUCACAGUGUGCCUGGUUUUGGACAUAUUAAGUGGGAUGUGUAGGGUAAAUAUUUAGUGAGGCGAGCAUCAAUUUAGCUGCAAUCUGCCAGUAAGGCCCUUUACAACACACUGAAAGCCUUCCCUAGAAAUCACAACUCAACAUUAACACACAAAUGAGACAUUUGUCAGAUAUGAUGCUGAGUGCUGAGUGGUGUACUCUUGCUUGCAAGCCUGAUGGACAGCUGCACCAGAGAAGCCUGCUGGAAUUAAAAUUUCAGGUACUCCAACAACGUGCACUUGGCAGCCACUUUGUCUCAUCAAGUUAUGGGGGAACCAGGACUCUGAAAUACAUUUGCUCUAAGUGCUUUUAAUUAAAGCUAAUUUCGUCAGUUAUUUAAAAAGAAUUGAAUAUGUAUCUGCUUCUGCCCUUCCAGGCACGUAUAGAAAAGUUAUGCAUUUUAUAAAUUACAAUAAAUAUAUAUAAAUAAAUUAC